rnacentral:rRNA from 1 species
GACGAACGCUGGCGGCGUGCUUAACACAUGCAAGUCGAACGGAAAGGCCCUGCUUUUGUGGGGUGCUCGAGUGGCGAACGGGGGAGUAACACGUGAGUAACCUGCCAUUGACUUUGGGAUAACUUCAGGAAACUGGGGCUAAUACCGGAUAGGAGCUCCUGCUGCAGGGUGGGGGUUGGAAAGUUUCGGCGGUUGGGGAUGGACUCGCGGCUUAUCCGCUUGUUGGUGGGGUAGUGGCUUACCAAGGCUUGGACGGGUAGCCGGCCUGAGAGGGUGACCGGCCACAUUGGGACUGAGAUACGGCCCAGACUCCUACGGGAGGCAGCGGUGGGGAAUAUUGCACAAUGGGCGGAAGCCUGAUGCAGCAACGCCGCGUGCGGGAUGACGGCCUUCGGGUUGUAAACCGCUUUCGCCUGUGACGAAGCGUGAGUGACGGUAAUGGGUAAAGAAGCACCGGCUAACUACGUG